AGAAGCAGUCGUAGAGCGCGACUGCCGCGGAAAAAAGAAAGCUCACUGAGU
rnacentral:ncRNA from 1 species